rnacentral:rRNA from 1 species
CCAAUAGCGUAUAUUAAAGUUGUUGCAGUUAAAAAGCUCGUAGUUGAAUUUCGGGAUUGGCGCAUCGGUCGUGCCUUACGGGGUAUGAACUGGUGCAGUCAAUUUCUCACCUUCUGGAGAACCGCGAUGUCCUUAAUUGGGUGCCGCGGGGAACCAGGACCUUUACUUUGAAAACAUUAGAGUGUUUAAAGCAGGCAUUUUUGCUUGAAUACAUUAGCAUGGAAUAAUAAAAUAGGACGGCAUGGUUCUAUUUUGUUGGUUUCUAGGACCACCGUAAUGAUUAAUAGGGAUAGUUGGGGGCAUUAGUAUUCAAUUGUCAGAGGUGAAAUUCUUGGAUUUAUUGAAGACUAACUACUGCGAAAGCAUUUGCCAAGGAUGUUUUCAUUAAUCAAGAACGAAAGUUAGGGGAUCGAAGACGAUCAGAUACCGUCGUAGUCUUAACCAUAAACUAUGCCGACUAGGAAUCAGACGAUGUUAAUUUUUUAAUGACUCGUUUGGCACCUUACG